rnacentral:rRNA from 1 species
GUCUACGGCCAUACCACUCUGAAUGCCCUGAUCUCAUCUGAUUUUGCAAGCUAAGCAGGGUCAGGCCCGGUUAGUACUUGGAUGGGAGAAAACAAAUUUACCAUGAAACUAUAUGCUGUGUCAU